rnacentral:lncRNA from 1 species
UAGGGGUUUUCUUCGAUACAAGCUUGUGUUUUGUCCCACCAUUAGUGAUCCACCUGGUUUAUGUAAUAAUAUUGGAAGAUUUUUUGAUAAUGAGAAUGGACUGCGUUUGAUCAUGAGCGAAAAUUUUAAACCUUUUGAAGUUGUAUUCGUUGAUGUUGAAGAUGCUCCUCGAUCCGGAAGAUCUGUAGUUUGAAUAAAAAAUGUCAACCCUUUGAAGUUGUAUUCGUUGAUGUUGAAGAUGCUUCUCGAUCCGGAAGAUCUGUAGUUUGAAUAAAAUUUUCAAUCAAGUAUUCAAUAACAAGUUAGGCUUACGGUUUUCGAACCUUUGCUUUGUAUUUCGUCAUGAUUUAGUGUGGGGUCUUUUUGGUGGGUCGAUUAUCUAAAUGCUUUUUCGAACUUGUGGUUUAAUUAAUCUUUGUACUUUUCACCCUAUCUGAUAAAGUUUUUGCUGUUAAAAAAAGGAAGUUAGGGCAACCUAAUUCUUAGUCCCAUCAAUAUUUUACCUUGUUUACUCUAUAUAAGACUUCAUACUUCAAACUUUUGAGAGAUCUUAAAGAGAAAGAAUCUUGGAAAAUCGAGAGUGGUAAGUUUAGGGUUGAGGUUCUUUGCACUACAAGAAACUUGACAUAUAGUGACAGCAAAAAAUCGAACAUAAAUAUCAUUCUUACAUAGGUAUAACCUAGAAUACCUAUACCUAUACGGAAGGUCUUUGUACUCAAUAAUCUGUCUAUACCUACGGAUUACAUAGGUAUAACCUAGAAUACCUAUACCUAUAACUCGGCACCCUUCUGAUUUGAUUCUGGAGUAUGGUGGACCGAUCGCUUUUGAUUCGAGAUCGGAAGAUAGUUUUUUUAUUCAAGUUUUUCUUUGGGAUUAUUAUGGUGUUCUUUCGAUGGAUUGGAGGUUGAGAGGUGGUGGAAGCUCAAAGAGUAUUAGAAUAUGCCUUUUUCGAAAGUGGCUCAGUUAUGAUGAUGUGAUUAGAAUGUGUUAUUUAGAGGGAUGUUUUUUGGGGUGAGUAGUGGCGAGGAGUGGUUAUCGAUAUCGUUUUCAGCGGUGGUGCGUGAUGGAGUCUGAUUUAGGUGGAGUUGUUUCUUUUGGUGGUUGUUGUCCUUGGUGGUGUUGAAGGUAGGGUUUGGUUAGGUGGUUUGCGUAUGAGUGUCUUUUAUGGUGUUUAUUUUGGGUGUUCCGCCUAUAUACAACAUCUUUUGUUUGUAGCAUUCGGUCUUUGUUCGUUUUGAGCGGGGAUCUGGUUUGUUAAAUAAAUUUUGAUGUUAAAAAAAUAAAAAACUUUAUAGAUAAAUAUUCCAUAAACAAUAUUAUAAAUCAAGUAAUUGAUUGAUUUUGUUUCAAAUUGUUGGCACUGCUCGUGGAAUGGAAAUUUAGGGGUGUUCGCGGUGCGGUUUGGUUUGGUUUUGAGGGUAAAAGUCACUCGAACCGCAAGAUAAAAAAGCAAGUAGUUUGGUUUGACUCAGUUGACUUAAAAUAAAAUCCAAACCAAAUCAAUAUAGUUUGGGUUGGAUUGGUUGGUGCGGUUUUUUGAGACGACACGUUUUUUUGUUUACAACAUUAAAAUCAAGUUAAAAAUCUAAAACACAACAUAUUUUCAGCAAUGUUUCAAAUUUCAUCAAAUAUUACAAUUUCAUUUUCAUUUUACAAUGUUUCUAACAACAUAGACCAAGUUAAAAACAUGGACAAAACGUAAGUUUAUUUUGUAAGAAAUGCAAAAGAUUAAGAUUUUAUCAUUCAUUAAAAUUUUAAGUAGCACGUUAAUACGUUUUUUAAAUAAAAAUCAAAGAAGGAAUCUAAUAAAAGAAAAAAUAUGUGAUUCAAUAAAAGUUUUCUUUGAAUUUCUAUGAGUAUUGUGUAGGCGAGAUAUGUUUAAUUAACAUUUUUUUUAUGUUGCGGUUUGGUUUGGUUUGGUUUGGUUCGGUUGGUAAAAUGAAAACCGCAAAUUAAACCAAACCAAACUAUGCGGUUGAGCAAGAAAAUGAUCCGAUUACAUCUGAAUCAAAUACGAGUUUUCUAUUGUGUUGGUUCGGUUUUGAACACCCCUAAAUGGAAUGCCAGCUAGCAAUGUUGAUGACAGUGUUCGAAUAUGUCAAAGCACAGCAGUAAAAUGCUUAGAAAGAUUUGCUAUAGAUGUGUACCAUAUAUUUGAGGCAAAGUAUCUAGGAAUGCCAACAAAUGAAUACAUUGAACGUGUUCUACAAAUGGGGGAGGCACAACUCAGGGCUUUUUAGGUAUCUUAGGUUCCAUUAAUUUUAUGCACCGGGUAUGAAAAAAUUGUCCAGUAGUGUGGAAAUUAAAGCCAAAGUUAGUCAUGUGAAGCAAGCUGAUUUUGCAAGAAAUGAUUUUCCAAUUAACUAGCUUAUUUAAGAAGCCAUAUUAACAAUAGUCCAAUUAUAUGGUACUUCAAAAACAAAGUUAUAAAAAUAAAGGUUACGUAUAAAAUAAAGGUUACGUUCCUCGUGGAAAUAUAUAAAUAAUUUAGCAUAUGCUUAGAAAGAGCAAAGUCAGCUUUGUCAUGAUAAAAAAUAGUCGAAUAUAUUUUGGCCACGAGGAGCUGGUGAAUUUAUUUUGGAGAAAACUUAGUUACAAUUCCUUAGGUGUUUUUCGUAUGGUUCUUAACUAAAAAUACAUAUUUUUUGGAUAUAACAAACUUCGAGAAAAUUAUGGAUUUGAAGAAAUCAUGGUAUUUUUAGUUAAGAACCAUACGAAAAGCACCUAAGAAAUUGUACUAAGUUUUUUCCAUUUAUUUUUUAUAAACUUCUCCAUAAUUUUCUAUUUCCGUUGAUUCUUAAGAGGCUAAAAAAAUCAAGAAUAAUAAUUUAAAGUGGUGAGUGGCCAUCAUGUGGGAGGCCGUGAAGUUGCAUAGAAUCUAUAAAUUUGUUUUAUAAUACUUGUUUUAGAUAAACAUGGAUGCUCAUGAUUUCAAAGCAAAUUAAUUAAUACUCCAAAACUAUACUCUUAGACCAUGUCUAUAAAUUAAGGUUUUAUACAUAGAGAGAUUGCAAAACAAAUACACACAAACAUAUAUCAACAUUGAUAUAUCCUUAACAAACCAUGAAACCUACUUUACUCGCCACCCUCCCUUUCCUCCUCUUUGCCCUAACCACCUACUUUCCAUUACCCUUUACUCAAGGUGUUGAACAAGUGAAGGAUAAAAAUGGAAACCCCAUUCUUGUGAGUAAGAAAUACUUUAUUUGGCCAGCUGAUGGAAGUGGUGGUGGACUUAGGCUUAAUGAGACAGAACAAUGUCCACUUGUUGUACAACAAGCUUUUUCUGAGGAUGUUAAAAGCUUGCCACUAAAAUUUAUACCAACAGAAAACAUCAAUGAUUUCAUCUUUACUGGCUAUACAUCACUAGAUAUUGUGUUUGAAAAGAAGACAAAAUGUGCUGAAUCCUCCAAGUGGGUGGUAGUUAAAGGUGGUUUCAUGGAACCAUGGAUAGGUAUUGGUGGUGGUGUUAAUGGUAAGAGUGUUAUAGAUGGUUUGUUUAAGAUUGAGACAAUUAGGAGUUUUCGUGGAUACAAGCUUGUGUUUUGUCCCACCAUCAGUGAUCCAACUGGUCAGUGUAAUAAUAUUGGAAGAUUUUUUGAUAAUGAGAAUGGACUGCGUUUGAUCAUGAGCGAAAAUUUUAAACCUUUUGAAGUUGUAUUCGUUGAUGUUGAAGAUACUGCUGGAUUCGGAAGAUCUGUAGUUUGAAUAAAAAAAUUCAACCCUUUGAAAUUGUAUUCGUUGAUGUUCAAGAUGCUUCUCGAUCCGAAGAUCUGUAGUUUAAAUAAAAUUUCCAAUCAAGUAUUCAAUAACAAGUUAGGCUUACGGUUUUUAAAACCUUUGCUUUGUAUUUCGUCAUGAUUUAGUGUGGGGUCUUUUUGGUGGGUCGAUUAUCUAAAUGCUUUUUCGGACUUGUAGUUUAAUUAAUCUUUGUACUUUUCACCCUAUCUGAUAAAGUUUUUGCAGUUAAAAAAAGGAAGUUAGGGCAACCUAAUUCUUAGUCCCAUCUAAUAAACUUUUGAGAGAUCUUAAAGAGAAAGAAUCUUGGAAAAUCGAGAGUGGUAACUUUAGGGUUGAGGUUCUUUGCACUACAAGAAACUUGACAUAUAGUGACAGCAAAAAAUCAAACAUAAAUGUCAUUCUUACAUAGGUCUUUGUACUCAAUAAUCUGUCUAUACCUACGGAUUAUUUCCUUCACUCUAACCUAUAGUGAUGGACUUUAGAAACAUUUUAGUUUUACCGACGGAUUCUGGCCGUAGGUAAUAGGUAUAUAGUUUAAGCAGAACUUGCAAUAUUUUUACCUACGACUCUUUUCCUUCACUACAAACUUUGCCAUCAACUAAUACACUCACAUCAUAAUCCUGAUGUUUAAUUAAAAAAAAAAACAAAUUCUAAAAUUCAUUUAAUUAAAAAAU